rnacentral:lncRNA from 1 species
GCAGAGCCCAAGGGGACGGCGUCGGAUGUAGCUAGUGGCGACACAUGGAUCUCCGGCAUCGACGGUGACUCAAUCCGCGGCAUUGGCUGCCGGCGGCGGUUAUGGAGGUGCCCAUCCUCCUGCACAUGCUCAUGUUUUUCUUGCCUCAGACUGCCCAAAUCACUGUGGAGCACGGCGAAACUCGUCCACCGUCGCACUUGACAGCCACUGUGAUGGGUUUCAAUACCAUUCCCUGUUGAAACCAAAAAAAACCCAGGUAUUAUUCAUUGCCUUUAUUCUUACUUUUUCGUUCUGGAGUAGGAGUAUUACUGAAGCAAGUACUACUACCUUAGGAUUACGAAAUCAGUUACCAANNNNNNNNNNUUGUGGAGCACGGCAAAACUCGUCCACCGUCGCACUUGACAGCCACUGUGAUGGGUUUCAAUACAAUUCCAUGUUGAAACAAAAAAAAACCCAGGUAUUAUUCAUUGCCUUUAUUCUUACUUUUUUGUUCUGGAGUAGGAGUGUUACUGAAGCAAGUACUACUACCUUAGGAUUACGAAAUCAGUUACCAAAUAAAGCAGGCAAUUUGUUCAUCCCCAUUACUUAUUUUUUUACGUCAGUACAGUUAAACAAAACACUAUCUCAAAAAGGCGCUACCUCAGAAUUACUGUUGAUCGUGAUCACAUCACAUCUCAAAUCGUUCAUAAGUUCCGACCAGUCAUAUCAACCCCAUUCAAAUCGUAAAACACACACUGAAUUGUGGCAUAAUCAUAGUCAAAAUCAGUCAAACGACUGCAAUAGACACUGAAUCUGCUCAGGGGAAAACAUAAUCAGGGAAACAAAUUGCUAAGGGAAAUAAAGUCUUUAAGUUCAGUUGCAAAUUUUCUUCAACCCGCUGCGUAGAGCCUCAUCUCACUUCGAUUUCACGAAUGAUAUAUCCCCACGGGAGCACAUCAUAUAGGGUUCUCUGCAGUCAUAAUAACUGCUCUUAGUACAUUCACUCAUAUAACCAGUGACAUUACACAUAAUAAAAACAAUGCUCAUGCAAAAUUAUAUUUCUCCUACAUUAUCCCAAUUUUCGAACAUUAUAAAGGGCAAUAGACGACAAUUCAAUGGACUAUCCUAAUUCGUUACUAGUAUCAUUUUGUCCACUUCUUCUGAAAGAAACACAAAUACGUAUAAUUUUAGAUAACCAAGAACGUAAAAAAGUAGGAACCUUAGUCUGCCUACGCCGUGUCCAUGGGCUGACUCUGGCUUCUCAGCUGCGUCCCUUGCACUUUCUUGAAUUUAGCAGUUAUACAUUCAGGUAGGCUUAGAUUUCCCAGCCACUGCGUCGCUUUCUUGAACAUAGUCUUUAUGCGCUUAAUCACCAUCUGAAAGAGAAAAAAAGAAUCAAAGGACAUAUGUAUGAUACCUUACUACUUUUUAAUUUGAAAUCAUCAGUCGUGAUCAAGAGGCAUUGUACCUCUGUCGGCUGAAAGUAAUUCAGCCAAAUGACCACCGUCAUGCACAAGACGACACAUGCAAAAGGCCAUACAACUGAUUUGGAAACACCUCUACAAACACACAGUGUUAUAAAUGGUGCUGCGCACAACCACAGAAGUAUUAAAAGCUGCACUAUUUGUAGGACUUUGAAUCCAAGAUUUUCAGGCAAUGCUCCCUCCUUGAAGCUUGAAGCAGGACCUAUCAGAAUAAGGCNNNNNNNNNNCCGGCUGAAAGUAAUUCAUCCAAAUGAUCACCGUCAUGCACAAGACUGCACAGGCAGAAGGCCAUACAACUGAUUUGGAAAUAUCUCUACAAACAUGCAGUGUUAUAAAUGAUGCUGAGCACAACCACAGAAGUAUUAAAAGCUGCGCUAUUUGGAGGAGUUUGAAUCCAAAACUGUCACGCAAUGCUCCCUCCUUGAAGCUUGAAGCAGGACCUAUCAGAAUAAGGCUGAUGAUGGUCACUACAAUGUGUGCUGUGGGAAUGAUGUCCUUCCAAGUGCCAAAAUUUGCAUUUGAGCAAAAUAAAGUCCAAUUAGGAAUGAGAAACCCUGAGCAAGCAAGUGAGGCGAUCGCAGUGUUCAAGACAAAACCAUGCCUACCCUGAGUUCAGACAAAGCAGUAAGAAAAAUUGGCGCAGCUACAGAGCUUUUGGUAUAGUCUAAUGCCAGGGAAAGGAUAAUCACCUUCAUUUUCUUCUCAUUCUCAUCAGAAUCAUUUUCAUCAUCAGGANNNNNNNNNNGAGUACAAGGUGUCCUGUGGGAAUGAUGUCCUUCCAAGUGUCAAAAUUUGCAUUUGAGCAAAAGAAAGUCCAAUAAGGAAUGAGAAACCCCAAGCAAGGAAGUGAGGCGAUUGCAGUGUUCAAGACGAAACCAUGCCUACCCUGAGUUCAGACAAAGCAGUAAGAAAAACUGGCACAACUACAGAGCUUUUGGUAUAGUUUAAUGUCACGAAAAGGAUAAUUACCUUCAUUUUCUUCUCAUUCUCAUCAGAAUCAUUUUCAUCAUCAGGAAUGCCUAUGCCAACAUGAUCAAUUGGACUGUUCGUUGCUCUCUUCUUCUGAAUCAACAAAACAAUACGUCAGAGAGCAAAAAACAAAACUAGGAGGAUAUGGACAGGGAGAGGAAAGAAAACGAUGCAAGUUGUUCUCACCGCUAUUUCCAUCCCAGUAUUUUUAUCAGAGUAACUGCUCCUAAAAUUCGUAGUGUUAUUUGGAACAAUUGGAACUAGUGCAUGUUCCUCAGCAUUUUUGCCACCAUGGUUGCUUGCCUCAGCUCCCACAGGAUUGCUAGCAUGCUGAGCAUUGACGAGUCGAUAAGACACAAUGUCAUUAUGUUCAUGACAUUGGGGCAACAAUAAAGGAAAUAAUCAAAGGGAAGUGGGAGCAUAUACCAUGCCGCUGGAAGGUUGACCCUCCACAUUGUCCUGAUAAAAGAAAAAAAAGUAGCAUCUUUUAAUUUAUGGCAAAGCGUCGCAAGCCAAAAGCAAGGAAGAGCAAGAAAAUGUGUAGUACACACUCCAACAGUAUAUAAGUUUUUUAAUAAAUAAACACCACAAAUUACAUAAAUGUAUACAAGUGGCUGAGCUUGAUGAAAAUGUUGUGGGGGCAGGAAAACAACCUAUAUAUGCUUAACCUUGGAAGCAGUUAGGUCACUGCAGGGAACUAGUGAUGGUGAUCCUAUGCAUGAGCUAAAGAGAGUACGCUUGAUUUAAAGUUGUGCUAAGCACAGUGAGAGGGGGUAACAUUCUCAAAGAUGAAUCCAUUCAUCUGCUUCCAGAUGUUCCAGGCUACAAUGUGAUGGCGUUUUCCAUGAAGUUAGGGCGGUUGAAAUUGGUUCUGGUCUCGAUCAAAUCUUCAAGGCUGUGCUAGUGCCCCAGUUCAUGUGGAUGCCCUCCCGACA